UCCCCUGUGGCGCAACCGGUAGCGCGUCAGACUGUUAACUCUCAUCCUGAGAAAACACAACAUAUCUGGAGGUCCUCAGUUCGAUCCUGAGCGGGGGAG